UCCGGUGUGGUGUAGUUGGCUAGCAUAUGCCAGAGGAGGACGGCAGCCCUGUAUAGACAGGGAAAUGUGCCGUGUUGGGCAAGACCCAAGUUCGAUCCUUGGCGCCGAAA